UACGUAGGGUGCAAGCGUUGUCCGGAAUUAUUGGGCGUAAAGAGCUCGUAGGCGGUCUGUCGCGUCGGCUGUGAAAACCCGGAGCUCAACUCCGGGCCUGCAGUCGAUACGGGCAGACUGGAGUUCGGCAGGGGAGACUGGAAUUCCUGGUGUAGCGGUGAAAUGCGCAGAUAUCAGGAGGAACACCGGUGGCGAAGGCGGGUCUCUGGGCCGAUACUGACGCUGAGGAGCGAAAGGCGUGGGGAGCGAACAGG
rnacentral:rRNA from 1 species